GCUCAGGAUGAACGCUGGCGGCGUGCCUAAUACAUGCAAGUCGAACGCUUCACUUCGGUGAAGAGUGGCGAACGGGUGAGUAAUACAUAAGUAACCUGGCAUCUACAGGGGGAUAACUGAUGGAAACGUCAGCUAAGACCGCAUAGGUGUAGAGAUCGCAUGAACUCUAUAUGAAAAGUGCUACGGGACUGGUAGAUGAUGGACUUAUGGCGCAUUAGCUUGUUGGUAGGGUAACGGCCUACCAAGGCGACGAUGCGUAGCCGACCUGAGAGGGUGACCGGCCACACUGGGACUGAGACACGGCCCAGACUCCUACGGGAGGCAGCAGUA
rnacentral:rRNA from 1 species